CCUACGGGAGGCAGCAGUGGGGAAUAUUGCACAAUGGGGGGCACACUGAUGCAGCGACGCCGCGUGAGGGAAGAAGUAUUUCGGUAUGUAAAGCUCUAUCAGCAGGGAAGAAAAUGACGGUACCUGACUUAGAAGCGCCGGCUAACUCCGUGCCAGAGGCCGCGGUAUUACGUAGGGGGCAAGCGUUAUCCGGAUUUACUGGGUGUAAAAGGGGCGUAGACGGCAGAGCAAGUCUGAGGUGAAAGCCCGCGGCCCAACUGCGGGACUGCUUUGGAAACUGCCCGGCUAGAGUGCUGGAGAGGUAAGCGGAAUUCCUAGUGUAGCGGUGAAAUGCGUAGAUAUUAGGAGGAACACCAGUGGCGAAGGCGGCUUACUGGACAGUAACUGACGUUGAGGCUCGAAAGCGUGGGGAGCAAACAGGAUUAGAUACCCGAGUAGUC
rnacentral:rRNA from 1 species